rnacentral:ncRNA from 1 species
AAAACGGUUCUUUUAAGAACCACUAUAUAUUAAAAGAAAAGAAACGU